UUGGUCCAAGAAAGCAAGGGGAGCUAAAUCAGCGAUUGCGACAUGGAUUCAUACCAGUCUGGUUGUGGAGUUUGGAUUUCCUCAGGUGUUUCAUCUUGGUGUAAACUUUCGUCCUCAAGGCCUACUCUCUCCGGCGUACUUCUUUGCUCUGAGUUUGAGCUUUCUCCUUCAGUAUGGCGGAGGAGGUUGUCACUAGGGAAGAGUUACUUUCGCUGUUGCAGAGCGUAGGUCUUUUCUCCCGGUCGAACGUUAGAGGCCUGUUGUAGGUUUUUGUAGAACUCCGAUCAUUCUCAUUUCUUUGGUAUUGGCGUUAUAAUCACUUGCUUGGAUUAGCUCUGGAACAGAGCGGCAGAUUAGUUUGUACGAUGCCUCAGUGAUUUCCUCUAGAUUAGGGAGUGAACUUGUUUGCUUCAUUGUUCAUCGUUUCCAGAUUGAUAUCUGAUGACUAGAUUAUGUUUAUUUGAUUUUCCGUUUUGUUUCUUAUUGUCUCUCGCUAAUGUAGUUGAUAAAUCUCUGUAGGAGCUUCAAAUUGAUUUUUCCAGAUACGAACAUCCUGCUGUAUUGGCGGUUGAAGCACAGGUAAUUCUAAUGUUAAUUUCCUUACAAGCUAACGGAAGAGUAUUUUCUACCGAAUCAACAUCAGGCAAAAUAUGUUGAAAAUUUGUGCGGUGGACUCUGUAAGAAUCUGUUUUUGAAGGAGAAAAAGAACAGAUACUAUAUUGUUUCACCGGACCUAAAGGGUCUGUACACUUUACUAGCCUGUGAUUCCUUCUAAGUUUUUUUUUAGGUCUAAAGAGAAAAAGUCUAUGAUCAUAUAUUUAUGCGAUGUGAUUCAUGGUGCAUUUUAGUCAUGCAGUUCUAUCUGCAAGGCUUGGUUUGGGUAAAGGAGGUCUGAGAAUGGCUCCCGAGGAAGCAUUGGGCAAGAAACUAAGGUUAGAACUAGCAUUUUCAGGGAAAUUUGGGCUGUGAGAUAAUUCUUUCACUUUAUUUUGUUAGAUCUUGCAUGGGUUCAUUUCUUGAAAAUCAUGGUGUUACAGACAAGAAGUCUAAGGCAGUUGCAGGUAGUAUAUGAAGCUUAUGCUUGUAAGCUACAUAGCACAAAAAGAUAGGGGAGACAAAGUAGUGUAGGUGAUGAAAUUGUAUGUAGGUUUUGUUGCUUCAGGACUGAAGAAUUGGGGCAACUAAAUGUUAGGUUUGGUUAGGAUAUCUAGUUUUGCCUUUAAGUUCGUUUUAUAGUUACACAGGCGAUUUUUUUCCCCACCGCUUUCUAGGAUUUUGCCAACCACUUCUGUUGCUAAAUAAUAAUUGAUGGUCAACCGAUUGCAUAACUGCUGUAUAGCCCGACCAUAACUAUUAAGGAUUGUUGGAAUCUCAUAUUGGCUAAUUAAGGGGAAGAUCAUGGGUAUAUGAGUGAAGGACACUAACUCCGUUGACGCGAGGCUUAUGUUCAAAGUAGACAAUAUUAUACUAAAGGGGAUGUUCCUAACAAUGUAUCCGAGUCAUGCUCUCACCUUAACCUAACUAUGUUAAUAGAAUCCUUAAGUGUCGAAUAAAGAAAUUGUGAGUCUCGAAAGUGUAGUCAUAGUGACUCAAGUGUUGCGAAGGAUGUACUUUUUUUAAGAGUUCAUGAGAAGGAGCCGAGCCUCAAUUAAGGGGAGGCUAUUCAAGGGCUCAAGAGAAGGAAGUCUUAGAGGAGGCUCUGUGGUGUAAUUGAUUCGAGGGGAAGAUUCUUGAGAAUUAUUGGAGUCCCACCUUGGCUAAUUAAGAGAGGAAGAUCAUAGUUAUAUAAGUGAGGAAGACUAACUCCAUUGACAUGAGGCUUUUUUGGAAAAACCAAAAGUAAAACCACGAAAACUUAUGCUCAAAGUGGAUAAUAUUGUACUAAUGUGGAGUGUGGAGGGUCAUCGUUCCCAACAACAUCAAACCUGUACCCAAACAUCCUAUGCAAAUGUGGAGAAAUGAGCAUCCUAACGCCAACCUUCAAUCUACCCACAAGAUCAAAGAGUUGAAGAAUCAUCUGAUCAGUGCUUUGCUGAAACUGUAGAUAAUCAGAAGCUAUUUGAAAGCAGGCAGUGGAGUGGCAUCAUACCAAAUACAUCCUGGUAAUGAAUCUAAUGAUUAUGUUCGUCUUUUCCAGUGUCUUCGUAUAUGAGCUCACGUAUUUACAUUCCUAAUGAAGUAAAAUCCAAGUUAUUUGCAGCAUAAACAUCGUCAUUAGAAGGGCUAAGGAAGAGAGGUACGAUGAACCACCCCAUGAAUUAAUUUCUGGUAAAUGGAUUAAAAUUGGGAAGAAUAGAAAUACUUUAGCUAUGUUCUUGUCACUUUUUAUUAUUUUAUUUUCAAUUUAGAAAAAUUCAACAACCCAUUUUUAAUUUUUUAAUUUUUUUUGCUAAUUUUUAUUGUAAAAUUGUUUUUUUCCCUUAGGAAGAGCCGAUUGAUUUCUUUCCCCGAAGUUCAUGCUGACAAUUUUUAAACAUGAUUUUGUCUCCCAUUAGAAACAUAAGAGUUUACCACCAUCAUUGAUAGGUCUCAGAUUAUUGUAUGUGCAUCUUUAAUUUAUGUUCGUACAUAUAUUUUUUAAUCAAAUGUCAAUUUAG